rnacentral:rRNA from 1 species
CAGUAGCCGCGGGAAUACGUAGGUGGCAAGCGUUGUCCGGAAUUAUUGGGCGUAAAGGGCUCGCAGGCGGUUUCUUAAGUCUGAUGUGAAAGCCCCCGGCUCAACCGGGGAGGGUCAUUGGAAACUGGGAAACUUGAGUGCAGAAGAGGAGAGUGGAAUUCCACGUGUAGCGGUGAAAUGCGUAGAGAUGUGGAGGAACACCAGUGGCGAAGGCGACUCUCUGGUCUGCAACUGACGCUGAGGAGCGAAAGCGUGGGGAGCGAACAGGAUUAGAGACCCCUGUAGUCCCUGUCUCUUAUAC